UGUUGGCAGAUAGCUAAUUGGUCUGUACCGUGGAAUGGGACCACAUGUCGGAGGUUACUACCAAUGGCCUUUAAUUUGUGGAUGCAGUAGUAGUGGACUGUGGAGGUCUCCAGGUAAUAUACCUUAAUACUUCGACGGGCAGGUGGCUCGUGACUGACGUCCAUCAGGAGUUACUACGGGACGGGUUAAAAGAAUGGCCAGGCAUAGUUGCAAAACUGGGUCUACGUUGUUUGCUAGAGGCUUGUUGUAAACUCCUACUGUCAUCUAGUUUCAUCAGUAUUAGUGACAAGCAGAGGUAACCCACAUCAAUUCAAUUCCUGGAUUCUUAUUGGAACUUAACCUCAGGCCACAGAAAUCCAGAGUUGCCACUGAUUAUCUCAUAUUCCAAUGUAAAACAUGUUGCCUUCAUAUUCUGUAAUAUCUGGAGAACCGACGUUUCUCUAUAUUUCUAAGCAUAUGGAAGUGUGUUUUUUAUGGAGACACUGAAACCUUUCCCCUUGUUUAUAUUCUUAAUUUAUUGCUCUCUUUCUCUUAUUCUCUGCCGUUUUGCCCAAUAUUGUUUGACACCUGUUUCCUUCUUACGUCAUACUUUCUCACUCUGACCUAAAGUCUCGUUCCCCGGACCUUCAUGCCCCCAAGUCACUGUUUUGGGGAAUAUGUCUGCUAAGGACAAAUACUCGACCCUCAAAAUAAAUGUGAAUUACAAAUA